UAGGUCUUAGGGAAAACU
rnacentral:miRNA from 1 species